rnacentral:rRNA from 1 species
GACGAACGCUGGCGGCGUGCCUAAUACAUGCAAGUUGAGCGAUGAAGAUUGGUGCUUGCACCAAUUUGAAGAGCAGCGAACGGGUGAGUAACGCGUGGGGAAUCUGCCUUUGAGCGGGGGACAACAUUUGGAAACGAAUGCUAAUACCGCAUAACAACUUUAAACAUAAGUUUUAAGUUUGAAAGAUGCAAUUGCAUCACUCAAAGAUGAUCCCGCGUUGUAUUAGCUAGUUGGUGAGGUAAAGGCUCACCAAGGCGAUGAUACAUAGCCGACCUGAGAGGGUGAUCGGCCACAAUGGGACUGGGACACGGCCCAAACGCCUACGGGAGGCAGCAGUAGGGAAUCUUCGGCAAUGGACGAAAGUCUGACCGAGCAACGCCGCGGGAGUGAAGAAGGGUUUCGGAUCGGAAAACUCUGUUGGUAGAGAAGAAAGUUGGUGAGAGUGGAAAGCUCAUCAAGUGACGGUAACUACACAGAAAGGGACGGCUAACUACGUG